rnacentral:rRNA from 1 species
AUGGAAAUAACUCAAAAGAAGAGAACGGAGAUGUUGUCUCUUUGCAAUUCGAUAACCGUCAGUUCAGUUACUAAGAACUCAAGACCAUCACAAAUAGAUUCGAGAAUUCCAUUGGCAAACGUCAGUUUGGAGUUGUCUAUCUUGGCUACUUGGAACAUGGAAACCCAGUUACUAUUACUGUUGUUUGGUAUUUGGACAUAUCUUUCUGAGAGGGAGAUGGGAACAGACAAAUUCGGGGAGAUGGGAACCGACAAAUUCAGUGAAGGUUGGCUGCGCGUAAACUAUUGUGAUCAAGUUGGGAACAAAUGUUUCCUCUAA